UGGGGAAUAUUGCGCAAUGGGGGAAACCCUGACGCAGCAACGCCGCGUGGAGGAAGAAGGUUUUCGGAUCGUAAACUCUUGUCUUCGGGGACGAAUAAAUGACGGUACCCGAGGAGGAAGCCACGGCUAACUACGUGCCAGCAGCCGCGGUAAUACGUAGGUGGCAAGCGUUGUCCGGAAUUACUGGGUGUAAAGGGCGUGUAGGCGGGAAGAUAAGUCAGAUGUGAAAUACCAAGGCUCAACCUUGGGACUGCAUUUGAAACUAUCUUUCUUGAGUGCAGGAGAGGAAAGUGGAAUUCCUAGUGUAGCGGUGAAAUGCGUAGAUAUUAGGAGGAACACCAGUGGCGAAGGCGACUUUCUGGACUGUAACUGACGCUGAGGCGCGAAAGCGUGGGGAGCGAACAGG
rnacentral:rRNA from 1 species